rnacentral:rRNA from 1 species
GCUUGUCUCAAAGAUUAAGCCAUGCAUGUCUCAGUAUAAGCUUUUACACGGCGAAACUGCGAAUGGCUCAUUAAAACAGUUAUCGUUUCUUUGGUGGUUAUUGAUUACAUGGAUAACCGUGGUAAUUCUAGAGCUAAUACAUGCUGGCGUGCCCGACUUUUGUGGAAGGGCGGUAUUUAUUAGAUAACAAGCCAAUAUUCCUCACGGUCUAUUGUGGUGACUCAUAAUAACUGAUCGAAUCGCAAGGCCCUUGGCCGCGAUAAGUCAUUCAAGUUUCUGCCCCAUCAGCUUUCGAUGGUAGUGUAUUGGACUACCAUGGCGUUCACGGGUAACGGAGAAUUAGGGUUCGAUUCCGGAGAGGGAGCCUGAGAAACGGCUACCACAUCUAAGGAAGGCAGCAGG